ACUUUGAAAAUGAGGGGCAGCGAGGUGCAGCUUUUCCGAGCACUCCUUGGCAUUCAUGUCUGUGACUGAACUGUUUACAGCUCUGGAUUUGAGGCCUAAGAUGAAGAGUCACUGCCAUUAGAUCCACAUCAUCACAAUUGUAACAUCAAAACGAGUGCUGUAUUAAAAAUAAACACAACAGGCA